AAAAAAGCAGGGACCUAUUGCCUUUUUUUGUGAAUUGGUCUCUCGUAAACUUCAGGGAUAUAAAAAAUUGCAUUGUUAUUGGGUGAACCACUUGACUUAAUUCAUGAUGGAAUGGUUCAGUAAACGAUGAUACAUUA
rfam:Solanum tuberosum cultivar DM 1-3 516 R44 scf00441_12, whole genome shotgun sequence.